rnacentral:Y_RNA from 1 species
AGCGGGUCUGAGUGCAGUGGUGUUUACAACUAAUUGAUCACAACCAGUUAUAGAUUCUGUUUUUCCUUCUUCACUCCCCCUGCUUCACUUGACUAGCCUUAA